rnacentral:rRNA from 1 species
UACGAAGGGGGCUAGCGUUGCUCGGAAUCACUGGGCGUAAAGCGCACGUAGGCGGCUUCUUAAGUCAGGGGUGAAAUCCUGGAGCUCAACUCCAGAACUGCCUUUGAUACUGGCGAUCUUGAGUCCGGGAGAGGUGAGUGGAACUGCGAGUGUAGAGGUGAAAUUCGUAGAUAUUCGCAAGAACACCGGUGGCGAAGGCGGCGCUCUGGGCCGGUACUGACGCUGAGGAGCGAAAGCGUGGGGAGCAAACAGGG